rnacentral:rRNA from 1 species
UACAGAGGUCUCAAGCGUUGUUCGGAUUCAUUGGGCGUAAAGGGUGCGUAGGUGGCUCGCUAAGUCAGGUGUGAAAUUUCGGAGCUUAACUCCGAAACUGCAUUUGAUACUGGCGUGCUUGGGGACUGGAGAGGAGACUGGAAUUCACGGUGUAGCAGUGAAAUGCGUAGAUAUCGUGAGGAAGACCAGUGGCGAAGGCGGGUCUCUGGACAGUUCCUGACACUGAGGCACGAAGGCCAGGGGAGCAAACGGG